UACAGAGGGUGCAAGCGUUAAUCGGAUUUACUGGGCGUAAAGCGUGCGCAGGCGGUAAGUUAAGUCUGAUGUGAAAGCCCCGGGCUCAACCUGGGAAUGGCAUUGGAAACUGGCUUGCUGGAGUGUGGCAGAGGGGGGUGGAAUUCCGCGUGUAGCAGUGAAAUGCGUAGAGAUGCGGAGGAACACCGAUGGCGAAGGCAGCCCCCUGGGCCAACACUGACGCUCAGGCACGAAAGCGUGGGGAGCAAACAGG
rnacentral:rRNA from 1 species